AAUUGUGCGGUGGGCAUAUAGCGAACUAUUCUUUCGCCUUUUACUAAAGAUAAAGAACACUGUGUGCUUGCCGCCAUAAAGUGGCAUAUGCCUAUUUUUGGAGGCCCUUCCUUUGUGGGGGGGU
rnacentral:snRNA from 1 species